UACGAAGGGAGCUAGCGUUGUUCGGAAUUACUGGGCGUAAAGCGCACGUAGGCGGCUUUGUAAGUUAGAGGUGAAAGCCUGGAGCUCAACUCCAGAAUUGCCUUUAAGACUGCAUCGCUUGAAUCCAGGAGAGGUGAGUGGAACUGCGAGUGUAGAGGUGAAAUUCGUAGAUAUUCGCAAGAACACCAGUGGCGAAGGCGGCUCACUGGCCCAUUACUGACGCUGAGGCACGAAAGCGUGGGGAGCAAACAGG
rnacentral:rRNA from 1 species